AGCGGCGGACGGGUGAGUAACGCGUGGGUAACCUGCCCUGUACACACGGAUAACAUACCGAAAGGUAUGCUAAUACGAGAUAAAAUACUUUUAUCGCAUGGUAGAAGUAUCAAAGCUUUUGCAGUACAGGAUGGACCCGCGUCUGAUUAGCUAGUUGGUAAGGUAACGGCUUACCAAGGCGACGAUCAGUAGCCGACCUGAGAGGGUGAUCGGCCACAUUGGAACUGAGACACGGUCCAAACUCCUACGGAAGGCAGCAG
rnacentral:rRNA from 1 species